rnacentral:rRNA from 1 species
GAUGAACGCUGGCGGCGUGCCUAAUACAUGCAAGUCGAGCGAACGGACGAGAAGCUUGCUUCUCUGAUGUUAGCGGCGGACGGGUGAGUAACACGUGGAUAACCUACCUAUAAGACUGGGAUAACUUCGGGAAACCGGAGCUAAUACCGGCUGAUAUUUUGAACCGCAUGGUUCAAAAGUGAAAGACGGUCUUGCUGUCACUUAUAGAUGGAUCCGCGCUGCAUUAGCUAGUUGGUAAGGUAACGGCUUACCAAGGCAACGAUGCAUAGCCGACCUGAGAGGGUGAUCGGCCACACCGGAACUGAGACACGGUCCAGACUCCUACGGGAGGCAGCAGUAGGGAAUCUUCCGCAAUGGGCGAAAGCCUGACGGAGCAACGCCGCGUGAGUGAUGAAGGUCUUCGGAUCGUAAAACUCUGUUAUUAGGGAAGAACAUAUGUGUAAGUAACUGUGCACAUCUUGACGGUACCUAAUCAGAAAGCCACGGCUAACUACGUG